rnacentral:rRNA from 1 species
UGGAUAGCCUUGGCACCAAGAGCCGAAGAAGGACGUAGGAGGCUGCGAUAAGCCUCGGGGAGCUGUCAACCGAGCUGUGAUCCGGGGAUGUCCGAAUGGGGAAACCCAGCUGGAGUCAUGUCCAGUUACCCAUGCCUGAACACAUAGGGCAUGCGGCGGGAACGUGGGGAAGUGAAACAUCUCAGUACCCACAGGAAGAGAAAACAACAGUGAUUCCGCGAGUAGUGGCGAGCGAAAGUGGAAGAGGCUAAACCGUAUCCGCGUGAUAGCCGGCAGGCGUUGCGAAUACGGGGUUGUGGGGCCGUUCUGAGGAUUCUGCCGAAUCCUCGAAGAGUCAGAAAUCCAGGAUGUAGUCGAAGACUUUGGAAAGAGUCGGCAUAGCGGGUAACACCCCCGUAGACGAAACAUACUUGGACUCUUGAGCGAUACCCCAAGUAGCACGGGGCCCGAGAAACUCUCGUGCGAAUCUGGCGGGACCACCCGCUAAGCCUAAAUACUCCUUGGUGACCGGAUAGCGGACAAGUACCGUGA